CACACAAAACAACACAGACCUCUGA
rnacentral:piRNA from 1 species